rnacentral:lncRNA from 1 species
GAAACUGCGAGGUCUGUAGAAAUCAGGUCAGGCUGCCGUACCUACCUCCCUGCAGGCAUCCCAGGGAAGGAGACACCUAGGCUGAGUCCCAAAUGUAACACAGGUAUUUCCUCCCGUGCUCAUCUGGUGCACUGAGAAUGGACUAAUGCAGGGACCACAGCAGCACCAGCUCCGGGUUAUCAGCAGCAGCACAAGGACCAAGCCCAGAAGCCACGAACCCCUCCUGCUCUGCAUCAGGCCCAUCCCUACAGCCAGCUAUGUGACUGCCUGCCUGGGUGCAGAGUCUGUGGCCACAUCCCUACCGGGUGCCUCUGAGGAACUCCCAGGCCAAUGGCCAUGCAGGCAGCCUCCUGGGAAGACUUGGAUUUCGGAGGGUGCAGAAGGAGAGGGCAGAUGGAAACAGAAAGUUAGAGGUGAUUAAAGGUAAAAGUGAUGACUUUGGGCAAGUCCUGGGCUGCUGAACAGUAGCGGUGCCAGGUCAUCUGGUUCAGAGCGGAGCUGACCCAGAAACACCACUCAUCACACAAUCACAGGAAUACGUUUCCGUGUUCUUCUGUGAGCGGUUCAUCAGGGAGGCUGGUCCUUCGUUCAUUCAGUAAGGACUUUAGUAAGGGGCUGUUGCUGUAUGUUUUGUAGUCUGUCCUGUCCCCCGGGGUUUAUGUUUCCUGAAUAUUCCAGGUGUGCUGCUGCAUCUGGUAUUUGUUUUUUUGUUUUGUUUGUUUUUGCUUCUCCUCUUCCUGGAGUUAUAUCCCUGCAGAUGUCCACUCCUCUCCAUUCAUCAUGUCACCUGCUAAACAAUGUUUUAUAUCAUCACCCUAUUUAGAAUUAUAGAGCUCCUCCAAGCUCACCCCACCCUACUUGCUUUCAAAAUUCCUUCCCCUGACUUCCUAGACCUGCCCUGUGAGCUUAGAGCCCAGUUCACUGCUGGUCCUGAGAAGAGCCUAAUGCACACCCUCACACAGAUGGGGGAUUUUACACUUUGUUCAUGGAUACACUCUUCGGUUAUUUACACUCAUAAUAGGAUCUGGCAUACAUUGGUGCUUAUCAAAUGCCUGGAGAAGGAAUGAUGGAUUUGAUAGUUUCCAGGUCCCAGGAGAGAAACCAGGAGAGGGGAAGAUGUGUCUGCAUAAAGUUUCAUUGUUCUAGAGAACUCUGACAGGAAGGCCAUACGGUGAGUGAGGUACAACUCCUUUGGAAUGGGCAAAGCCCAUCAAGGACACUCUAACUAAGAUCUACUUCCUGAAAGGCAGUGAGGAAGAUGUGCUGGAGUUCUGCAGUCCCAUGCCUAAAGCUCACAUCAGUGCAUCUACACAGCCAUAUCCAUGGUGACCCAACUUCAACCAGUCCCCUCAGCCCCCUUCUUUGUCCCCCCUCAGCUUUGCCUACCUUGUCUUGGCAAAGAAUCCUGCUGGGUGAGUUUAACAACAAUCCCUGUAUUUUGAUAUCCACCCCACUCCAUAUGUGAUUAAGUUCCCUGUUCCUUGUUCUUUCUAAGUCUUUGGCUUGCCUUCAGCCAGAACCCCAUGCCCCUCAGGUUCUUUAUUAAUGUUCAAUCCAUUGGCUCCCUAAUCCUGUCCUUGGCUAUAAAUGCUCCCCUUUGGCCUUGUUG